rnacentral:rRNA from 1 species
GACGAACGCUGGCGGCGUGCCUAAUACAUGCAAGUCGAACGCUGAAGGAGGAGCUUGCUUCUCUGGAUGAGUUGCGAACGGGUGAGUAACGCGUAGGUAACCUGCCUGGUAGCGGGGGAUAACUAUUGGAAACGAUAGCUAAUACCGCAUAAUAGUAGAUGUUGCAUGACAUUUGCUUAAAAGGUGCAAUUGCAUCACUACCAGAUGGACCUGCGUUGUAUUAGCUAGUUGGUGGGGUAACGGCUCACCAAGGCGACGAUACAUAGCCGACCUGAGAGGGUGAUCGGCCACACUGGGACGGAGACACGGCCCAGACUCCUACGGGAGGCAGCAGUAGGGAAUCUUCGGCAAUGGACGGAAGUCUGACCGAGCAACGCCGCGUGAGUGAAGAAGGUUUUCGGAUCGUAAAGCUCUGUUGUAAGAGAAGAACGAGUGUGAGAGUGGAAAGUGCACACUGUGACGGUAUCUGACCAGAAAGGGACGGCUAACUACGUG